rnacentral:lncRNA from 1 species
CAUCAAUAACUAAUGUAACUGGGAAGAACAUUUAGCUGAAGAGUAAAUAAAGAGAAAACAAUUAAUUUCCCUCCACACAAUAGCCUUAUCUUGAAUUGCUCUCAUUUGUUGCCACUCUUUCUCCUCUACCAUAACCAUCACAUUUCAAGAUUUCCCACAAUGCGCAGAGUUUUUCAACUUCUACUUUCCCUUCACUUCUGCAACCGCCAUUUUUGCCGCCACAAAAUAAAAUGGCGACCAAACUUGGGUUCAGUAU